GACACACUCUGCUGAACUCACAGGCUCCACCCUCCAGCACAUGCUACAGAGCCCGGCUGAGCUCACCUCCAGGUCCCACAGCCUCUGUAACCUUUCAUGUUUCCAUGCAUACCCUCGUCUCGCACUCUGACACAUCUUUCAGGGAUCCUCGGUCUCUGAUUCUUCUCCCCCUUCCUUUCGCCACAGUGCUCUCACUUCUCACCUUCUGCCCCCGACACCUCCAGCCUCUGUCCAGACCUGCACAGAGCCCUCGGCCCGCUGUACCCCCCUCCUCCUCCUCCCCACUCCUAGCAGUCACCUCUCUCGCCAGAUGCUCUGACCUCUCCCACCCACUCUGCCCCUUCCAUCGUGUGGACGUCCCUUCCCGUGCUCUAUGCGCAAAUACACUCAUCGGUCCUUCCUUUCAGUCACCAUUUCCAUCUCCCUUAGCCCUACUCAGAUGUCUUAAGCUCAGGGACACCAUGCUUGCAAUCUACUCCCAACCAACUGAUAGUAACCACCUCCCCAGUCCCACCCCCAGCCCCCACCGUUCCAGGUGCCUUGUCGGCUACAUCCAUUUGCUCGCUGUCUGCCUGGUCCUGGGUCCUUUUCCUCCAUGUGUGACAGUCUGGACUCUGAUGCUCCCUCAGACCCGCGGGCUCAUCUGCUCACCCUUCUCCACUGCGCCACUGCCUCGAGCAGCACAUCCUGUGCUGGCCUCUUCCCACCUCUCCCACUUCCUCACUCGCCUGACCUGUGCUGUGCUCUUCCUCCUGCAGGGGCUUGCUCAUGCCCUUUGCCCACUUUGAGGGGCAGGUUCUCCACACCCACUGUCUCCUAGCUCCCUGCUGUCCCUCUGGGCACAGUGUGUUCCCGGAUGCUCUCAACACGCCUCCUCUCUUCUACGGGCUGCCGGGCGCCGUCUCCUGCGGUUCCUCAUUCUCUGGCCUAUCGGACAGAGGUGGACCUCUCCUCCACCACCCUCUCUCACUUGUCCGAGGUAGCUCACCUGACCUCCCACAUCCUGGGCCCGGUUUCUAGGUCUCUCCUGGUUUCUCCACGAC
rnacentral:lncRNA from 1 species